rnacentral:rRNA from 1 species
AACGAACGCUGGCGGCAUGCCUAACACAUGCAAGUCGAACGAGACCUUCGGGUCUAGUGGCGCACGGGUGCGUAACGCGUGGGAACCUGCCCUUAGGUUCGGAAUAACUCCCCGAAAGGGGUGCUGAUACCGGAUAAUGUCUUCGGACCAAAGAUUUAUCGCCUUUGGAUGGGCCCGCGUUGGAUUAGCUAGUUGGUAGGGUACAAGCCUACCAAGGCGACGAUCCAUAGCUGGUCUGAGUGGAUGAUCAGCCACACUGAGACUGAGACACGGCCCAGACUCCUACGGGAGGCAGCAGUGGGGAAUAUUGGACAAUGGGCGAAAGCCUGAUCCAGCAAUGCCGCGUGAGUGAUGAAGGCCUUAGGGUUGUAAAGCUCUUUUACCCGGGAUGAUAAUGACAGUACCGGGAGAAUAAGCUCCGGCUAACUCCGUG